rnacentral:tRNA from 1 species
GGCCUGCUGGCCCAAUGGCAAGGCGCUUGACUACGAUUCGGCAUAGCUUAGUCUAAUCAAGAGAUUGCAGGUUCGAUCCCUGCGUAGGUCA